rnacentral:rRNA from 1 species
GCUCGAGUGGCGAACGGGUGAGUAACACGUGAGUAACCUGCCCUUGACUUUGGGAUAACUUCAGGAAACUGGGGCUAAUACCGGAUAGGAGCUCCUGCUGCAUGGUGGGGGUUGGAAAGUUUCGGCGGUUGGGGAUGGACUCGCGGCUUAUCAGCUUGUUGGUGGGGUAGUGGCUGACCAAGGCUUUGACGGGUAGCCGGCCUGAGAGGGUGACCGGCCACAUUGGGACUGAGAUACGGCCCAG